rnacentral:misc_RNA from 1 species
GAUGAAGAACGUAGCGAAAUGCGAUACUUGGUGUGAAUUGCAGAAUCCCGUGAACCAUCGAGUCUUUGAACGCAAGUUGCGCCUCAAGCCAUUAGGUUGAGGGCUCGUCUGCCUGGGCGUCACAUAUCGUUGCCUGAUGCCAGUUUCCUCGUGAUGGGUGACUGUGCAGGGCGAAUGAUGGCUUCCCGUGAGCAUUGUUGCCUCAUGGUUGGUUGAAAAUUGAGUCCUUGGUAGGGAGCGCCGUGAUAGAUGGUGGUUGAGUGACGAACGGACCCAAUCAUGUGAGACCCCUACCGAAUUUGGCCUUCAUGACCCACAUGCGUCUUUGGAACGCUCAUGACGAGACCUCAGGUCAGGCGGGGCUACCCGCUGAGUUUAAGCAUAUCAAUAAGCGGAGGA